rnacentral:other from 1 species
GGUCCUCUGCUGUGUGCGACGGCGUGUGCAAACAUUCGCCUUGUCCCUUAAUUACGACCACGGGGAUGCAUUGGCGACCAGGCGUGCAAGUCCGCCCUGAGCGGGAAGCCCGAAGGCCGCCACGCGUUCCCACUUGAACCCCGGGUUCAAGGUCGUUUCGCACGCAUCGCCACGGCGGAGACCUU